UACGUAGGGUGCGAGCGUUGUCCGGAAUUAUUGGGCGUAAAGAGCUCGUAGGCGGUGUGUCACGUCGGCCGUGAAAACCUGGGGCUUAACUCUGGGCGUGCGGUCGAUACGGGCAUCACUUGAGUUCGGCAGGGGAGACUGGAAUUCCUGGUGUAGCGGUGAAAUGCGCAGAUAUCAGGAGGAACACCGGUGGCGAAGGCGGGUCUCUGGGCCGAUACUGACGCUGAGGAGCGAAAGCAUGGGUAGCGAACAGG
rnacentral:rRNA from 1 species